AUUAUAUAUCCCAAUUAUGAUGGCAAGGGGGAAAUAUUUGGGGGUAAAAUAAGAUUUGGAGUUUGGUAAGUAUUUGAAUCCUGUCAGGCUGGGACACUGCCAUGAGAUGGAGCCUUGAGUUAAGAUCUGGCUUAGGAAUUCUGUGAAGAUCUGGGAGUUGGAAAUUCUGUUAGGCCAACUGUCUUUUCUCUUUCUCUGCUGGUGUUUCCUGCCCAGAGACGUGGCUAAAACUUUGGCUCUUGGAAGUUCCUUGAACCAGAGUGACAGUUGUGGAAAGAGGAGGAAGUUGGAAGUUUUGGGAAGAGUUGUGAAUAGAAGAUCUACAGUUAAGAGAAGAAAAUCUGGCGUUUGCUCCUCUGUGGUUACAGAAUGUAACAGGCUGGGCUCGGCCUUUUCAGCUGAGCCCACAGCCGCUGGUGGCCAGAGCCCUGGGGGAGGCCGGGCCCAAGACCCCACUGGAGCAGGUCACCCGGGAGCGGGACGAUGCCAUUGCCAAGAAGCUGGCAGUAGAAGCCGAGCUGGGCAUCUGCAGGGCCAAACUCCAAGCCUCGGAGAAGCAGUUGCUGGAGGUGGUGGCAGAGAAGCUGAAGCUGAUGGAGGAGAUCGAGGCCUGGAAGGUAGGGCAGGCCCUGGCUUCCCCCAGGGCGAGGAUUUCUGGUGGGGCUCUCUGCUCCCCUCCCAGCCCCGGCCUCCCCCAACCUCCGUCUCUUCCCCAGGAAGACAUGCAGGAGCUGAUCCGCCAACAGAUUCACAGGCAGCUGCAGAGAGAGGGCAGGGCCCCUGCCUCCGAGCCCAGAGCCCCCCGGGCUGGCCUGACCUCCCAUUUCUCCCAGUGGCAGUGGAGAUGGCGGAGGUGAGAGGGCUGGAAGUAGCACUAGUCAGCAGACUGAAGCUCUGGCCAUGGUGUCCACUCCAGGUAGCCGCUGGGUUUGAAGCGUGGCCGGCCGUGGCCCGCAUUUCCAUCCUCCCUUACGGUGGAGCUCUGUUCAUCCCUCCCCUGAGCCUUCCCCUUCUUCCAGAGGGCCAGGCCUUUUCCGCUCUCACCCCCGAGGCUGGGGCUGCCUCGGCCUCUGUGUGGGGAAGAUCUCGUGCUCUUUGAGCCUGUGUUUGAGAAGUCUGGAGAGGAGCCAGUACUCCCCUCUGUGGUCCAGCCACAGGAGGUGGCACCUCAGAGGACCAAGACGGGGCCAGGAGAGGGUUCUUGGAGCUGGAGGAAGUCCCUCGUGGUAUCUCCUUGCUGGAACAGGACUUCCGUGUUGAUCUGUACUAAGUUCUGCCUGUCAUCCUCCACCAGAUGGGUGAGAAGGAACAGCUGUGCCCUGGAGAGUUGAGUGGGAUGAUUUGGUAUCCUGGCUCAGCUGUUGAGCCUCUCCUUCAUCCUUUUAGGCCAAAUCUAGUUCCGUCUCUCCAAGUUCCAGGCCAGCUACGUAGAGCUUUGAAUUCCUUUCCUAACUCUUCUGGCUUUAUGUCUGUAUUUGUCCUUCCUCAGCCCUCCCACUUUCCUUAUUCCCUAUCUCCCAGGCCACUGCCCCGGGGCCCCACGUUUCUCCUCUCUCCUUCCCAUGACCUCAAACUCAAAUAUUUGUCCUGUGCAGCCCCAUCUAUAGAGCCCAGAGAGGGGAAAGGAUUUGCCUAAGAAUUUUUAACUUUCCUAAAUGAAUCCAAGCUGGAUUUGAUAGAGCAACUCUAGAUACAAAUCUUAAACACAUAGACCUCUGAAAGGAUCUUUCUGCUGGAUAGAGAUUGGAGGUGGUAGAUUGCUGGCUCAGGCGUUAACUGAUGCCCUUCUGAAGGCUUUUAAGUGGUCGCCGAUGCCACCCCUCCUGUUCUCACUGCAGGGUUGACCAUGGAGAAGUGAUCUUCAGGGGGUAGUUCCUCAAACCUGGUAUUGAACUAGAAAUCCUCUACUGCUCAAGGACCCACAAUCUCCUCUCAGACUUUGUAGCAAGGUGGGGAGAACAAUAUACCAGAAAUUCCCCUCUGUUCCUACAGGACUACAUUCUCUGCUUCCAACUCCACUGAAGACUCAGAGCCCUAAUCCUUUUUUGACUCCAUGACCUGUCCUGGGGAUUUGAUGGAUCCUUGACACUGAUUGCAGGACUAUGGGAUGCUUCUGACUGUCAAGAAGGCUGAUGCUCUGCCCUCCAGGCCCUAGUGGAUAAACCUCAUCUGCUACAACAUCUGGACCAUGGGCUAUGCUGAUUCCUCUCAUUCUGUUUCUGAUGAAGACCAAGGGGACCCAUCUAAACGGAGGCAGGAGAGCCUGCUGCUCAGUGCUCCUGGUCUCAGACUAGCUGGAAUCAUGGUUGCCUGGGCUCCUCCUUUGUUUCUGGGGCUUGAACUUGGAGUUAGCAGUCUCCCCAACUCCUUAUGCUUGUUGACCCUCCUCCGACCUGGGGGUGCCUACUAGUAGCCUGGGUAUUUGGCAAAGAAUCAAGCUGGUUCAUUCAAUAUUCAUUAAGUAAAUUAUGCUAUGUGCUGGGCAUACCAAGACAAAAUAAAAAGUCUGUCUGGCCUCA
rnacentral:lncRNA from 1 species